UGAAUACGAGACGCUAAGGCGUCGAAGUAGUGUAUGUCAUACUUCCAAGAAAAGCUUGCACUGUCAUAAGUAAAAAAUGCCUGUACCAUAACCGACACAGGUGGGUAGGUAGAGUAUACUAAGGGGCGCGAGAUAACUCUCUCUAAGGAACUCGGCAAAAUAACUCCGUAACUUCGGGAGAAGGAGUACCUUAUUCUAUAAGGUUGCAAUAACAAGAUCCAAGCAACUGUUUAUCAAAAACACAGGUCUCCGCUAAGUCGUAAGACGAUGUAUGGGGGCUGACGCCUGCCCAGUGCCAGAAGGUUAAAGAAGUCGGUUAGCAUUAGCGAAGCUGGUAACUGAAGCCCUGGUGAACGGCGGCCGUAACAAUAACGGUCCUAAGGUAGCGAAAUUCCUUGUCGGGUAAGUUCCGACCCGCACGAAAGGCGUAAUGAUUUGGAUACUGUCUCGGAGAGGGGCUCGGUGAAAUAGACUUGUCUGUGAAGAUGCGGACUACCUGCACCAGGACAGAAAGACCCUAUGAAGCUUUACUGUAACUUGAAAUUGAAAUUGGACUUUAUUCGCGCAGUAUAGGUGGGAGGUGUUGAUUAUAAUCUUGCGGGAUUAUUGGAGCCAUCAGUGAGAUACCACUCUUGUAUUGUUAGAUUUCUAACUUUGAAUCAUUAUCUGGUCAAAGGACAGUUUCAGGCGGGCAGUUUGACUGGGGCGGUCGCCUCCCAAACGGUAACGGAGGCGUACAAAGGUUUCCUCUGAACGGGUAGAAAUCGUAUCUAGAGUGUAAAGGCAUAAGGAAGCUUGACUGUGAGACCUACAAGUCGAACAGGGACGAAAGUCGGUCUUAGUGAUCUGACGGUACUGAGUGGAAAGGCCGUCACUCAACGGAUAAAAGUUACUCUAGGAUAACAGGCUGAUCUCCCCCAAGAGUUCACAUCGACGGGGAGGUUUGGCACCUCGAUGUCGGCUCAUCGCAUCCUGGGGCGGUAGUACGUCCCAAGGGUUGGGCUGUUCGCCCAUGAAAGCGGUACGCGAGCUGGGUUCAGAACGUCGUGAGACAGUUCGGUCCAUAUCCGGUGUAGGCGUUAGAAUAUUGAGAGGAGCCUUCUUUAGUACGAGAGGACCGAGAAGGACAUACCUCUGGUGUACCAGUUAUCGUGCCAACGGUAAACGCUGGGUAGCUAUGUAUGGAGUGGAUAACCGCUGAAAGCAUCUAAGUGGGAAGCCCACCUCAAGAUAAG
rnacentral:rRNA from 1 species